rnacentral:rRNA from 1 species
AUUGAACGCUGGCGGCAGGCUUAACACAUGCAAGUCGAGCGGGGUGAUGGUGCUUGCACUAUCACUUAGCGGCGGACGGGUGAGUAAUGCUUAGGAAUCUGCCUAUUAGUGGGGGACAACAUCUCGAAAGGGAUGCUAAUACCGCAUACGUCCUACGAGAGAAAGCAGGGGAGCACUUGUGACCUUGCGCUAAUAGAUGAGCCUAAGGCGGAUUAGCUAGUUGGUGGGGUAAAGCCCUACCAAGGCGACGAUCUGUAGCGGGUCUGAGAGGCUGAUCCGCCACACUGGGACUGAGACACUGCCCAGACUCCUACGGGAGGCAGCAGUGGGGAAUAUUGGACAAUGGGGGGAACCCUGAUCCAGCCAUGCCGCGUGUGUGAAGAAGGCCUUAUGGUUGUAAAGCACUUUAAGCGAGGAGGAGGCUCUUUUGGUUAAUACCCAAGAUGAGUGGACGUUACUCGCAGAAUGAGCACCGGCUAACUCUGUGCCAGCCGCCGCCGUAA